rnacentral:rRNA from 1 species
UGAACGCUGGCGGCAGGCCUAACACAUGCAAGUCGAACGGUACAGGAAGAAGCUUGCUUCUUUGCUGACGAGUGGCGGACGGGUGAGUAAUGUCUGGGAAACUGCCUGAUGGAGGGGGAUAACUACUGGAAACGGUAGCUAAUACCGCAUAACGUCGCAAGACCAAAGAGGGGGACCUUCGGGCCUCUUGCCAUCGGAUGUGCCCAGAUGGGAUUAGCUAGUAGGUGGGGUAACGGCUCACCUAGGCGACGAUCCCUAGCUGGUCUGAGAGGAUGACCAGCCACACUGGAACUGAGACACGGUCCAGACUCCUACGGGAGGCAGCAGUGGGGAAUAUUGCACAAUGGGCGCAAGCCUGAUGCAGCCAUGCCGCGUGUAUGAAGAAGGCCUUCGGGUUGUAAAGUACUUUCAGCGGGGAGGAAGGGAGUAAAGUUAAUACCUUUGCUCAUUGACGUUACCCGCAGAAGAAGCACCGGCUAACUCCGUGCCAGCAGCCGCGGUAAUACGGAGGGUGCAAGCGUUAAUCGGAAUUACUGGGCGUAAAGCGCACGCAGGCGGUUUGUUAAGUCAGAUGUGAAAUCCCCGGGCUCAACCUGGGAACUGCAUCUGAUACUGGCAAGCUUGAGCCUCGUAGAGGGGGGUAGAAUUCCAGGUGUAGCGGUGAAAUGCGUAGAGAUCUGGAGGAAUACCGGUGGCGAAGGCGGCCCCCUGGACGAAGACUGACGCUCAGGUGCGAAAGCGUUGGGGAGCAAACAGG